UAGAGUUUGAUCCUGGCUCAGGACGAACGCUGGCGGCGUGCUUAACACAUGCAAGUCGAACGAUGAAGCUCAGCUUGCUGGGUGGAUUAGUGGCGAACGGGUGAGUAACACGUGGGUGAUCUGCCCUGCACUUCGGGAUAAGCCUGGGAAACUGGGUCUAAUACCGGAUAUGACCAAAGGCUGCAUGGUUUUUGGUGGAAAGUUUUUCGGUGCAGGAUGAGCCCGCGGCCUAUCAGCUUGUUGGUGGGGUAAUGGCCUACCAAGGCGACGACGGGUAGCCGGCCUGAGAGGGCGACCGGCCACACUGGGACUGAGACACGGCCCAGACUCCUACGGGAGGCAGCAGUGGGGAAUAUUGCACAAUGGGCGAAAGCCUGAUGCAGCGACGCCGCGUGAGGGAUGACGGCCUUCGGGUUGUAAACCUCUUUCACCCAUGACGAAGCGCAAGUGACGGUAGUGGGAGAAGAAGCACCGGCCAACUACGUGCCAGCAGCCGCGGUAAUACGUAGGGUGCGAGCGUUGUCCGGAAUUACUGGGCGUAAAGAGCUCGUAGGCGGUUUGUCGCGUCGUCUGUGAAAUCCCGCAGCUCAACUGCGGGCUUGCAGGCGAUACGGGCAAACUUGAGUACUGCAGGGGAGACUGGAAUUCCUGGUGUAGCGGUGAAAUGCGCAGAUAUCAGGAGGAACACCGGUGGCGAAGGCGGGUCUCUGGGCAGUAACUGACGCUGAGGAGCGAAAGCGUGGGUAGCGAACAGGAUUAGAUACCCUGGUAGUCCACGCCGUAACGGUGGGCGCUAGGUGUGGGUUUCCUUCCACGGGAUCCGUGCCGUAGCUAACGCAUUAAGCGCCCCGCCUGGGGAGUACGG
rnacentral:rRNA from 1 species